GAUGAAGAACGCAGCGAAAUGCGAUAAGUAAUGUGAAUUGCAGAAUUCAGUGAAUCAUCGAAUCUUUGAACGCACAUUGCGCCCGCCAGUAUUCUGGCGGGCAUGCCUGUUCGAGCGUCAUUUCAACCCUCAAGCACAGCUUGGUGUUGGGACUCGCGUUAAUUCGCGUUCCCCAAAUUGAUUGGCGGUCACGUCGAGCUUCCAUAGCGUAGUAGUAAAACCCUCGUUACUGGUAAUCGUCGCGGCCACGCCGUUAAACCCCAACUUCUGAAUGUUGACCUCGGAUCAGGUAGGGAUACCCGCUGAACUUAAGCAUAUCAAUAAGCGGAGGA
rnacentral:misc_RNA from 1 species